rnacentral:rRNA from 1 species
UCGAGAGGCUUCGGCAAUGGGGGAAACCCUGACCGAGCGACGCCGCGUGGGGGAUGAAGGCCCUUGGGUUGUAAACCCCUUUUGUUCGGGAAGAAAUGCGAUCAGGUGAAUAAUCUGGUCGUUUGACGGUACCGGACGAAUAAGCUCCGGCUAACUCCGUGCCAGCAGCCGCGGUAACACGGGGGGAGCAAGCGUUGUUCGGAAUUACUGGGCGUAAAGCGCACGUAGGCGGCGAUUUAAGUCAGAGGUGAAAGCCCGGGGCUCAACCCCGGAACUGCCUUUGAGACUGGAUUGCUUGAACAUCGGAGAGGUGAGUGGAAUUCCGAGUGUAGAGGUGAAAUUCGUAGAUAUUCGGAAGAACACCAGUGGCGAAGGCGGCUCACUGGACGAUUGUUGACGCUGAGGUGCGAAAGCGUGGGGAGCAAAC